GGCAGUGUAGUAUAAUGGGUAAGGAGCCGGGCUUGUAACCUGAAAGGUCACAGGUUCGAUUCCUGGGUCGGCCA
rnacentral:tRNA from 1 species